GGGAAUCGGGAUUUUUAAAAGCUCCCCUCGUGGCGGGCCCCGUGGCCGAGUGGUUAAGUUCUCUCGUUCCGCUUCGGAGCGCCGGUUCAGAUCCUGGGCGCAGACAUGGCACCACUCAUCAGGCCAUCCUGUGGAGUCAUCCCACAUGCCACAACUAGAAGGACCCACAACUAAAAUAUACAAAUCAUCUCAAUAUGGUGAGAGAGCAGCUCAUUUACUCCUCUGACUUCGGUGGAACUGGAGUUGUGACAGUGGGGACUGCGAUAAUGCACACUCCCUGAACAACUGGGAGGAUGAGAAAAUGAUUUCAUUAGGAAGAAGAUUCCAAAUUGGAGCAUGCGAUGGACUUGUUCACUGCCUAGGUAGACUGGAAGAGGUUUCCUGUUGGGAGGCCUUCCCUCUUCUCCAGACUAGGAAAUUGCAAUUGAAGAAAGAUCUUACAUCAUACCAAGAGCGGAGGUUCCAGAGACGUGAUUUUCAAUUUAUCAAGAUGGGCAAUGGAUACUUUCAGUGUUCCUUGAGUAACAGAAAUGGCUUUUUUAUUGGCUGAUCAAACAGAGGGAUCCCCACAGACACAAGGCAAUUUCCUUCUCCAACAGGGAAAUGCACCCAUAUUAGGAGCAGUGAUGUCCCCUGCUUGCUCAUCUUACCAUUUUGCUCGUGCCAGGUGGGAGCCAGGGACGCUUCAGCAGGAUCUGUGUGGAUUCUAGAAUCUGACCACUUCCUGAGCUUUAGUGUGACUGAUUAAAUUAUUACUGCCUUCUCGGAGCUGAAAACCCUCUUCCUCUUCUGUUUUGAGUUGGAGGUAGGCAAGGGUGGUAAUCAAGUUAUGUUGGGGAAAUACUUUCAAUUAUUCCCUACACAGGCUUUUUCAUCACCUCUAGUGAUUAUAGUUUGGUAGUUCUUUGCCUCAAUCUUGUUUAAUCUUCAUUAUACCUUAUGGAAAGUCUUUACAACUUUCUAGCGUGUGGAUGGUGCUCUUACCUAAUUUCCAGUGAUGAUUACUGGUUAUAUUUCUUUAGAUGUUUGAGUGGGGUCUGUAGCAGGAGUGGAAUUAAAGAUAUGGACUGAGAUUGCCAUCUUGGAGCAGAGGUCUUCAAGAUGACUUCUUGUGGAGACACUUAUUCCUGUCUGUCUAUGCCACAUGAGUCCUACUUGGGGGAUGUAUGGAGAGUGAAAGGGUAGCUUUUGAUUUGGAUGUAUGUCCCUGAGACAUUUUUUUUCAGUGAAAUUACCUGAUCAUCU
rnacentral:lncRNA from 1 species